UAGUUAAUAGUCUUUACGUCCUGUCGAUCUCCUAUUGUCAAGUACUAACUUAUUUUAGGUGAACCUGCGGAAGGAUCACUAUCGAGUUCUGACCGAAAGGCCGACUCCCACCCUUUGUGUACUCUGACCUGUUGCUUCGGCGGGCCGAUCGCUUAGCGACCAUUGGCUUUUAGCGGGUGUGUGCCCGCCGAAGGACCUUUUUGAAACACUGUUUUGAGGUUGUCUGAGUUUAUAAGAAAAGUAA
rnacentral:misc_RNA from 1 species